rnacentral:rRNA from 1 species
UACGUAGGGGGCAAGCGUUGUCCGGAUUUAUUGGGCGUAAAGAGCGUGUAGGCGGUUUGGUAGGUCCGUUGUGAAAACUCGAGGCUCAACCCCGAGACGCCGAUGGAAACCAUCAGACUAGAGUCCGGAAGAGGAGAGUGGAAUUCCUGGUGUAGCGGUGAAAUGCGCAGAUAUUAGGAAGAACACCGGUGGCGAAGGCGGCCAUCUGGCUCGGUACUGACGCUCAGGCGCGAAAGCGUGGGGAGCAAACAGG